AGUAAUGCGUGACCAACCUGCCCAUGCUCCAGAAUAGCUCUUGGAAACGGGUGGUAAUGCUGGAUGCUCCAACUUGACGCAUGUCUUGUUGGGAAAGUGUUUAGUGGCAUGGGAUGGGGUCGCGUCCUAUCAGCUUGUAGGCGGGGUAAUGGCCCACCUAGGCUUCGACGGGUAGCCGGCCUGAGAGGGCGGACGGCCACAUUGGGACUGAGAUACGGCCCAGACUCCUACGGGAGGCAGCAGAC
rnacentral:rRNA from 1 species